rnacentral:rRNA from 1 species
UACGGGGGGGGUAAGCGUUGUUCGGAAUUACUGGGCGUAAAGGGCUCGUAGGCGGCCAACUAAGUCAGACGUGAAAUCCCUCAGCUUAACUGGGGAACUGCGUCUGAUACUGGAUGGCUUGGAUUCGGGAGAGGAAUGCGGAAUUCCAGGUGUAGCGGUGAAAUGCGUAGAUAUCUGGAGGAACACCGGUGGCGAAGGCGGCAUUCUGGACCGACAUUGACGCUGAGGAGCGAAAGCCAGUGGAGCAAACGGG